UCCGUAGGCGGUGUGAUAAGUCGAUAGUGAAAUCUCUGGGCUUAACUCAGAGGCUGCUAACGAAACUGUCAUGCUAGAGUGUGAGAGAGGCGAGUGGAAUUACGGGUGUAGCGGUGAAAUGCGUAGAUAUCCGUAGGAACAUCCGAGGCGAAAGCGGCUCGCUGGAUCACAACUGACGCUGAGGGACGAAAGCUAGGGGAGCAAACAGGAUUAGAUACCCUGGUAGUCCUAGCCCUAAACCAUCAGGACUUGGGGUUUGCCCUGUACGGGGCAAGUCCCGUAGCUAACGCGUUAAGUCCUGCGCCUGGGGAGUACGGUCGCAAGGCUGAA
rnacentral:rRNA from 1 species